rnacentral:pre_miRNA from 1 species
AUGGCGGUGGUCUAAGGGUGUAGUGUAUUUAAAGAUAUAUACCCGUAGUGCCAUCACCACG